CGAGAUGGCGACAUGGAGCAAAUCCCAAAAACAGCGCCCCAGUUCGGAUUGCAGGCUGCAACCCGCCUGCAUGAAGCCGGAAUCGCUAGUAAUCGCGGAUCAGAAUGCCGCGGUGAAUACGUUCCCGGGUCUUGUACACACCGCCCGUCACACCAUGGGAGCCGGGAAUGCCCGAAGUCAGUGGCCCAACCGAAAGGGGGGAGCUGCCGAAGGCAGGCCUGGUGACUGGGGUGAAGUCGUAACAAGGUAUC
rnacentral:rRNA from 1 species